rnacentral:rRNA from 1 species
UGAUGCAGCCAUGCCGCGUGUGUGAAGAAGGCCUUCGGGUUGUAAAGCACUUUCAGUAGGGAGGAAGGUAGUGUAGUUAACACCUGCAUUAUUUGACGUUACCUACAGAAGAAGCACCGGCUAACUCCGUGCCAGCAGCCGCGGUAAUACGGAGGGUGCGAGCGUUAAUCGGAAUUACUGGGCGUAAAGCGCAUGCAGGCGGCCUGUUAAGUCAGAUGUGAAAGCCCCGGGGCUUAACCUCGGAAUUGCAUUUGAAACUGGCAGGCUAGAGUCUUGUAGAGGGGGUAGAAUUUCAGGUGUAGCGGUGAAAUGCGUAGAGAUCUGAAGGAAUACCAGUGGCGAAGGCGGCCCCCUGGACAAAGACUGACGCUCAGAUGCGAAAGCGUGGGGAGCAAACAGGAUUAGAUACCCUGGUAG